CUACGGGGGGCAGCAGUGAGGAAUAUUGCACAAUGGGGGGAACCCUGAUGCAGCAACGCCGCGUGGAGGAUGACGCAUUUCGGUGUGUAAACUCCUUUUAUAUGUCAAGAAAAUGACGGUAGCAUAUGAAUAAGCACCGGCUAACUCCGUGCCAGCAGCCGCGGUAAUACGGAGGGUGCAAGCGUUACUCGGAAUCACUGGGCGUAAAGGACGCGUAGGCGGGUUGGAAAGUCAGGUGUGAAAUCCUACAGCUUAACUGUAGAACUGCACUUGAAGCUUCUAAUCUAGAGUAUGGGAGGGGGAGAUGGAAUUAGUGGUGUAGGGGUAAAAUCCGUAGAUAUCACUAGGAAUACCUAAAGCGAAGGCGAUCUCCUGGAACAUUACUGACGCUAAGGCGUGAAAGCGUGGGGAGCAAACAGGAUUAGAUACCCUCGUAGUC
rnacentral:rRNA from 1 species